GAACGUGAUGGAGGAGUUAAUCUGUAGAACGUGAUGGAGGAGUUAAUCUGUAGAACGUGAUGGAGGAGUUAAUCUGUAGAACAUGAUGGAGGAGUUAAUCUGUAGAACGUGAUGGAGGAGUUAAUCUGUAGAACAUGAUGGAGGAGUUAAUCUGUAGAACGUGAUGGAGGAGUUCAUCUGUAGAACGUGAUGGAGGAGUUAAUCUGUAGAACGUGAUGGAGGAGUUCAUCUGUAGAACGUGAUGGAGGAGUUCAUCUGUAGAACGUGAUGGAGGAGUUAAUCUGUAGAACAUGAUGGAGGAGUUAAUCUGUAGAACAUGAUGGAGGAGUUAAUCUGUAGAACGUGAUGGAGGAGUUAAUCUGUAGAACGUGAUGGAGGAGUUAAUCUGUAGAACAUGAUGGAGGAGUUAAUCUGUAGAACGUGAUGGAGGAGUUAAUCUGUAGAACAUGAUGGAGGAUUUCAUCUGUAGAACGUGAUGGAGGAGUUAAUCUGUAGAACAUGAUGGAGGAGUUAAUCUGUAGAACGUGAUGGAGGAGUUAAUCUGUAGAACGUGAUGGAGGAGUUAAUCUGAAACAUGAUGGAGGAGUUAAUCUGUAGAACGUGAUGGAGGAGUUAAUCUGUAGAACGUGAUGGAGGAGUUAAUCUGAAACAUGAUGGAGGAGUUAAUCUGUAGAACAUGAUGGAGGAGUUAAUCUGUAGAACAUGAUGGGAGGAGUUAAUCUGUAGAACGUGAUGGAGGAGUUAAUCUGUAGAACGUGAUGGAGGAGUUAAUCUGUAGAACAUGAUGGAGGAGUUAAUCUGUAGAACGUGAUGGAGGAGUUAAUCUGUAGAACGUGAUGGAGGAGUUAAUCUGUAGAACAUGAUGGAGGAGUUAAUCUGUAGAACGUGAUGGAGGAGUUAAUCUGUAGAACGUGAUGGAGGAGUUAAUCUGUAGAACAUGAUGGAGGAGUUAAUCUGUAGAACGUGAUGGAGGAGUUAAUCUGUAGAACGUGAUGGAGGAUUUAAUCUGUAGAACAUGAUGGAGGAGUUAAUCUGUAGAACAUGAUGGAGGAGUUAAUCUGUAGAACGUGAUGGA